rnacentral:piRNA from 1 species
UAGAAUACUUGUAUUUAUGCUGAGCCA